rnacentral:rRNA from 1 species
UACGUAGGGUGCAAGCGUUGUCCGGAAUUAUUGGGCGUAAAGAGCUCGUAGGCGGUUUGUCGCGUCUGCUGUGAAAACCCGAGGCUCAACCUCGGGCCGCAGUGGGUACGGGCAGACUAGAGUGGCGGUAGGGGAGAUUGGAAUUCCUGGUGUAGCGGUGGAAUGCGCAGAUAUCAGGAGGAACACCAAUGGCGAAGGCAGAUCUCUGGGCCUAACGACGCUGAGGAGCGAAAGCAUGGGGAGCGAACAGG